AGACGUGCCUAAUACAUGCAAGUCGAACGAACUCUGGUAUUGAUUGGUGCUUGCAUCAUGAUUUACAUUUGAGUGAGUGGCGAACUGGUGAGUAACACGUGGGAAACCUGCCCAGAAGCGGGGGAUAACACCUGGAAACAGAUGCUAAUACCGCAUAACAACUUGGACCGCAUGGUCCGAGUUUGAAAGAUGGCUUCGGCUAUCACUUUUGGAUGGUCCCGCGGCGUAUUAGCUAGAUGGUGGGGUAACGGCUCACCAUGGCAAUGAUACGUAGCCGACCUGAGAGGGUAAUCGGCCACAUUGGGACUGAGACACGGCCCAAACUCCUACGGGAGGCAGCAGUAGGGAAUCUUCCACAAUGGACGAAAGUCUGAUGGAGCAACGCCGCGUGAGUGAAGAAGGGUUUCGGCUCGUAAAACUCUGUUGUUAAAGAAGAACAUAUCUGAGAGUAACUGUUCAGGUAUUGACGGUAUUUAACCAGAAAGCCACGGCUAACUACGUGCCAGCAGCCGCGGUAAUACGUAGGUGGCAAGCGUUGUCCGGAUUUAUUGGGCGUAAAGCGAGCGCAGGCGGUUUUUUAAGUCUGAUGUGAAAGCCUUCGGCUCAACCGAAGAAGUGCAUCGGAAACUGGGAAACUUGAGUGCAGAAGAGGACAGUGGAACUCCAUGUGUAGCGGUGAAAUGCGUAGAUAUAUGGAAGAACACCAGUGGCGAAGGCGGCUGUCUGGUCUGUAACUGACGCUGAGGCUCGAAAGUAUGGGUAGCAAACAGGAUUAGAUACCCUGGUAGUCCAUACCGUAAACGAUGAAUGCUAAGUGUUGGAGGGUUUCCGCCCUUCAGUGCUGCAGCUAACGCAUUAAGCAUUCCGCCUGGGGAGUACGGCCGCAAGGCUGAAACUCAAAGGAAUUGACGGGGGCCCGCACAAGCGGUGGAGCAUGUGGUUUAAUUCGAAGCUACGCGAAGAACCUUACCAGGUCUUGACAUACUAUGCAAAUCUAAGAGAUUAGACGUUCCCUUCGGGGACAUGGAUACAGGUGGUGCAUGGUUGUCGUCAGCUCGUGUCGUGAGAUGUUGGGUUAAGUCCCGCAACGAGCGCAACCCUUAUUAUCAGUUGCCAGCAUUAAGUUGGGCACUCUGGUGAGACUGCCGGUGACAAACCGGAGGAAGGUGGGGAUGACGUCAAAUCAUCAUGCCCCUUAUGACCUGGGCUACACACGUGCUACAAUGGAUGGUACAACGAGUUGCGAACUCGCGAGAGUAAGCUAAUCUCUUAAAGCCAUUCUCAGUUCGGAUUGUAGGCUGCAACUCGCCUACAUGAAGUCGGAAUCGCUAGUAAUCGCGGAUCAGCAUGCCGCGGUGAAUACGUUCCCGGGCCUUGUACACACCGCCCGUCACACCAUGAGAGUUUGUAACACCCAAAGUCGGUGGGGUAACCUUUUAGGAACCAGCCGCCUAAGGUGGGACAGAUGAUUAGGGUGAAGUCGUAACAAGAGCGC
rnacentral:rRNA from 1 species